UUACGGUCAAAUCACGCUCAAACACCGGUUCUCGUACGAUCACCGAAGUUAAGCAGCGUAGAGCCAGGUCAGUACUUAGAUGGGGGACCGCUUGGGAACACCUGGUACUGUAAG
rnacentral:rRNA from 1 species